rnacentral:rRNA from 1 species
GAUCAUGGCUCAGGAUGAACGCUAGCUACAGGCUUAACACAUGCAAGUCGAGGGGCAGCAUGAACUUAGCUUGCUAAGUUUGAUGGCGACCGGCGCACGGGUGAGUAACACGUAUCCAACCUGUCGAUGACUCGGGGAUAGCCUUUCGAAAGAAAGAUUAAUACCCGAUGGCAUAGUUCUUCCGCAUGGUAGAACUAUUAAAGAAUUCCGGUCAUCGAUGGGGAUGCGUUCCAUUAGG